GGGUGCGACAAUACCGGCACUAACGCACCGGAUCCCAUUAGAACUCCAAAGUUAAGCGUGCUUGGGCGAGAGUAGUACUAGGAUGGGUGAUCCAUUGGGAAGUCCUCGUGUUACACCCC
rnacentral:rRNA from 1 species